rnacentral:lncRNA from 1 species
AUCAUACUUAUCAGGGUUGCCGAGUCGAUCGAGGUUUGAGGGCUGCUCGGACGGCGCCGGAGAGGAGGGAGGAGGAGGAGAUCCUCGGGCGGAGGCAAAGCUAGAGAAUCUGUAAAAAAAGAAAAAAACACCCACGAACACACGAACAAGAAGAGGCGGAGAAGGAGGAGAACAAGCGAGAAGGAGGGAGAAGAGGGAGGAGGAGAAAAAUACCUCAGGUGGAAGAGAUCGGGGUUGGUCGGUCGGCGCCGGAGAGAAGGGAGGAGGAGAGGAGGUUGGAAUCCGACGGUCGGCACCGGAGAGGAGGAAGACGGUUGACUAGGGCAGUGCCGGAGAGGAGGAAGACGGAAGCCGGAGAGGAGAAAUAGGGGAAGUAGCCAGCGCAGAAUGAGGGUUCGAUCGGGGUCGGGCGCUGAGUUUUGAGGGAUUCUAN